UACAGAGGGUGCAAGCGUUAAUCGGAAUUACUGGGCGUAAAGGGUGUGUAGGUGGUUGCGUAAGUUAGAUGUGAAAUCCCCGGGCUUAACCUGGGAACUGCGUUUAAAACUGCGUAGCUAGAGUGUUGCAGAGGAUAGUGGAAUUUCCAGUGUAGCGGUGAAAUGCGUAGAUAUUGGAAGGAACACCAGUGGCGAAG
rnacentral:rRNA from 1 species